GACGAACGCUGGCGGCGUGCUUAACACAUGCAAGUCGAACGAAGAGCGAUGGAAGCUUGCUUCUAUCAAUCUUAGUGGCGCACGGGUGAGUAACGCGUAAUCAACCUGCCCUUCAGAGGGGGACAACAGUUGGAAACGACUGCUAAUACCGCAUACGAUCUAAUCUCGGCAUCGAGGAUAGAUGAAAGGUGGCCUCUACAUGUAAGCUAUCACUGAAGGAGGGGAUUGCGUCUGAUUAGCUAGUUGGAGGGGUAACGGCCCACCAAGGCGAGGAUCAGUAGCCGGUCUGAGAGGAUGAACGGCCACAUUGGGACUGAGACACGGCCCAGACUCCUACGGGAGGCAGCAGUGGGGAAUCUUCCGCAAUGGACGAAAGUCUGACGGAGCAACGCCGCGUGAGUGAUGACGGCCUUCGGGUUGUAAAGCUCUGUUAAUCGGGACGAAAGGCCUUCUUGCGAAUAGUGAGAAGGAUUGACGGUACCGGAAUAGAAAGCCACGGCUAACUACGUG
rnacentral:rRNA from 1 species